AGCAAUGGGGAGUGGCAGACGGGUGAGUAACGCGUGGGAACAUGCCUUUCGGUUCGGAACAACUCGGGGAAACUUGAGCUAAUACCGGAUACGCCCUUUUUGGGGAAAGAUUGAUCGCCGAAAGAUUGGCCCGCGUCUGAUUAGCUAGUUGGCGGGGUAACGGCCCACCAAGGCGACGAUCAGUAGCUGGUCUGAGAGGAUGAUCAGCCACAUUGGGACUGAGAAACGGCCCAGACUCCUACGGGAGGCAGCAGUAAGGAAUAUUGGUCAAUGGACGCAAGUCUGAACCAGCCAUGCCGCGUGGAGGAUGAAGGUCCUCUGGA
rnacentral:rRNA from 1 species